AAGACCCUCACCUGCUGUGGUUCCUCACUGUGGACUUCCCAGCCACCAGAACCUUAAGAAAAAGCUCUGUUCUUUCCAAAUUACCCUAUCUUUGGUAUUAUGCAGUAACAGCAGAAACUAAACUAAGACAACAAAUAAGGAAAUCACAAAGAAAAUUUGCAACAGCAAGUAGAGGCUGUGAUCACUGGGCAUUUACUUUGCAAAUUCUGAAGACAGGUAAAGUCAUCAAGAGAUCUGAUUUAAUUUUUUUUUAAUUUUGAAAAUUAUGUC
rnacentral:lncRNA from 1 species